rnacentral:rRNA from 1 species
AUCUACAACCACAGGAAGAAGUCAACAGCGUAUCCCGUCCGCUCUGCGCUACUUAAGCUUCUUACCGGCCAGCUAGUAGUGCUAUCGGAGAUGAGGUGCGAAUAUUGGCUGUUGUAGGUU